rnacentral:lncRNA from 1 species
ACACCUCGAUACAUAAUCUGAAACUCUUGCUUUAUCUCAAAUUUUUGACGUUUCAUCUUUAACCAAAUAUAAAAGAAAGGGGGAGUAAAUCAAAAGUUCAAAUUGGUAAUAUUUGGAUGAAAUAGGGGAGACUUCACUCUCAAAUGUGAAAAGCUGAAAUUCAGCAACUUGAGCCCUUCUAAAACUAAUUUUAAGAUAAGAAUCAAUUUGCUCAUACUCAAUAUUUUGUAAUCAUCAAAAAGGGGGAGAUUGAGGAUGAUAGUGUUAUUUUCAUGAUUAACACAACCAUUGACGGUAUACCUAAUUAAAUAUUACAAGGUAAUAUGAUACAUCAUUACUAAGUUCGUCACUCUCGGUACAUUAGUAGAAUGAGAUCAAGAUGUAUUUUAAUGAUUAAAAAUGAGAUAAAAUUCGCGAUAGAAAAGGGAUAGUGAAUUCAAAAUUCCAAUUCGGCAAAGUUUCAAGUGAAACGUACUCUUAAGUGGACAAUAGUAAUUUUCAUUGUUUAGAGUAUGUAGCACCACCAUGACAUAUAUUCAAAAUUGUUUGAAGUUUAUUUCAUUGAUUAUAUGGAUGAAUCUAACCUUAAGUUGCAGCAAAAUGUGGAUUGAAUCGACCCCAAAAUUGGUGGAGUCGACCCCG